AGAGUCUGAUCCUGGCUCAGGAUGAACGCUGGCGGCGUGCUUAACACAUGCAAGUCGAACGGGAAAUAUUUCAUUGAGACUUCGGUGGAUUUGAUCUAUUUCUAGUGGCGGACGGGUGAGUAACGCGUGGGUAACCUGCCUUAUACAGGGGGAUAACAGUCAGAAAUGGCUGCUAAUACCGCAUAAGCGCACAGAGCUGCAUGGCUCAGUGUGAAAAACUCCGGUGGUAUAAGAUGGACCCGCGUUGGAUUAGCUUGUUGGUGGGGUAACGGCCCACCAAGGCGACGAUCCAUAGCCGGCCUGAGAGGGUGAACGGCCACAUUGGGACUGAGACACGGCCCAGACUCCUACGGGAGGCAGCAGUGGGGAAUAUUGCACAAUGGGGGAAACCCUGAUGCAGCGACGCCGCGUGAAGGAAGAAGUAUCUCGGUAUGUAAACUUCUAUCAGCAGGGAAGAUAGUGACGGUACCUGACUAAGAAGCCCCGGCUAACUACGUGCCAGCAGCCGCGGUAAUACGUAGGGGGCAAGCGUUAUCCGGAUUUACUGGGUGUAAAGGGAGCGUAGACGGUGUGGCAAGUCUGAUGUGAAAGGCAUGGGCUCAACCUGUGGACUGCAUUGGAAACUGUCAUACUUGAGUGCCGGAGGGGUAAGCGGAAUUCCUAGUGUAGCGGUGAAAUGCGUAGAUAUUAGGAGGAACACCAGUGGCGAAGGCGGCUUACUGGACGGUAACUGACGUUGAGGCUCGAAAGCGUGGGGAGCAAACAGGAUUAGAUACCCUAGUAGUCCACGCCGUAAACGAUGAGAACUAGGUGUUGGGGGAAUAACUCAGUGCCGCAGUUAACGCAAUAAGUUCUCCGCCUGGGGAGUAUGCACGCAAGUGUGAAACUCAAAGGAAUUGACGGGGGCCCGCACAAGCGGUGGAGUAUGUGGUUUAAUUCGAAGCAACGCGAAGAACCUUACCAGGCCUUGACAUCCCUUGCAGAGGUAUAGAGAUAUAUCCGAGGUUAUCAAGGAGACAGGUGGUGCAUGGUUGUCGUCAGCUCGUGUCGUGAGAUGUUGGGUUAAGUCCCGCAACGAGCGCAACCCUUGUGAUAUGUUACUAACAUUGAGUUGAGGACUCAUAUCAGACUGCCGGUGAUAAACCGGAGGAAGGUGGGGAUGACGUCAAAUCAUCAUGCCCCUUAUGGCCUGGGCUACACACGUACUACAAUGGCGUCUACAAAGAGCGGCAAGCCUGUGAAGGCAAGCGAAUUUCAUAAAGGACGUCUCAGUUCGGAUUGAAGUCUGCAACCCGACUUCAUGAAGCUGGAAUCGCUAGUAAUCGCGAAUCAGCAUGUCGCGGUGAAUACGUUAUCGGGCCUUGCACACACCGCCCGUCA
rnacentral:rRNA from 1 species